GAAAAUAUGAAAUAGUUUUGUAUUUGUUCGCAAUUUAAAUAGCUUAUCAUUUACGACUAAUUAAUACUUGACAGGAUCGUAAAAAUGAUUAGGUAGGUCGGUAGGUUUUUUUUUUUUAUUCUAUUUUCAAACGUCAACGAUAAGACGUUACUAAAGGAAGAAGAAGAAACAAGAAAGAAGAAAAAAGAAAGAAAGAAGAAUUCCUUGACAAAUUCUUCCUAUUUUGGCGCCAUUACUCUCGGAAUCUAAUCCCAUUGAUAGUUUAAAUAUAGACGCUUGGAUCUAACAUAAGAACGAAUAGGAUGGGAGAAAAGCGUGCCGGCUCUUGAUGAUUCCCAGUUUAUUUUCUCGGGUUAUCGUUGCUCAACCGCGUUUGCUCUCUCCCCCUUAUCACUUGUCAUAACGGCACCAACGAAUUAUUACUUCAAAUUCUUUGCGUUCGACGCGACCCGGAUAUAUGAUCUUAACGCCUUCUUCCAUGGAUAAGAUAAUGUCUUGUAUUCUCGUCUAUCAAUUUUUCAAGGCAGAAAAAGAGAGAAAGAGAGAGAGAGAGAGAGAGAGAGAGAGAGAGAGAGAGAGGAGCCAUAAGAGGAAAGGGAUCGUUAAUUUUGUUUUCGUAAUGAGAUCGCCGACACAUUGUUUGUUCACCACUGAUAUCUCGAUAAAGAGUUCCCUUAAGAUAUUCAAGAGGAUAAAUUAUUUUAAUUAGACCAAAAACGAUCAAUUAAAUUGAAUACAAUGUGUGUCUUUAUUAUUCCUGCAAAUAUUCAAGAAGAUUUAUUAUUAUGUCUGGUUCUAAAAUUGACGAAGGAUAAUAAUCAUGGCUGAUGAUUCAGAAGAAGAUUGGUAUUAUUUUUGAAAAAGUAUCAGACUAAAAUUAAAAUCAUACGUAAUCGUGUUGAAUUUUUUAACACGGUAUUUAUGGGAUAGUGGUGUACGAAUAGUAUAAAAUACGUGGGCGUGAUUUUGCCAUGAGCAACGUUCAUUUUCUUGUGGUUUAUUUCUUCUUUUGGUUUGUGUGUCUCUUUGAAGACGUCAUGGUUGCGUAACACUUCAAACAGAGGAUGAGUACUACACGCAAAAACGUUAAGAACAUUUUGUUAUAGGUGGUGAAUUAUUGGUGGUAAUGAAAAAGAAGGUCAAUGGCUAAUACCUAAUGUGUUAAACUUGGCAAAGGAAAUUUAUUUAUUCAUCAUUGGGACAUCGAUAUCGACGUCAAGUAAAUUGCAAUUCUUAAUCAAAUAUGCAAAUUUCACUGUUUAUCGCUUAAUAAUGAUGAUAAACUUGAAUAGACCAAAACACAUGUUUCAAUUUUCGUUUAACUUUAUUUACUAAAAUAAGAUACUACAGAUAAGAUAA